GAUGAAGAACGUAGCGAAAUGCGAUAAGUAAUGUGAAUUGCAGAAUUCAGUGAAUCAUCGAAUCUUUGAACGCACAUUGCGCCCGCCAGCAUUCUGGCGGGCAUGCCUGUCCGAGCGUCAUUUCAACCCUCGAGCCCCCGUGGCCCGGCGUUGGGGAUCUGCCACGGCAGGCCCCUAAAACCAGUGGCGGACCCGAAGGCCCUCUCCUUUGCGCAGUAGCAUCAGCCUCGCAUUGGGAUCCCUCGGCGUCCUGCCUCUAAACCCCCCACAAGUCCGCUCCGGCGGCACCAAGGUUGACCUCGGAUCAGGUAGGAAUACCCGCUGAACUUAAGCAUAUCAAUAAGCGGAGGA
rnacentral:misc_RNA from 1 species